UCCUCUGUUAAAUCCAACCGCUCAACGGUUGACCUGCAGAGGAUACCGCGGGACUAGGAGGCGGGAGAGGCGGACGGUACUCCGCGUGUAGGGGUAAAAUCCUUUGAUCCGCGGAAGACCACCAGUGGCGAAGGCGGUCCGCCAGAACGCGCUCGACGGUGAGGGAUGAAAGCUGGGGGAGCGAACCGGAUUAGAUACCCAGGUAGUCCCAGCCGUAAACGAUGCUAGCUAGAUGAUUCAUUCGCAAGUCGCGAAUGAAGUGUCGCAGGGAAGCCGUUAAGCUAGCCGCCUGAGAGUACGUCGCAGAAUCCUGGCUGAUGU
rnacentral:rRNA from 1 species